rnacentral:lncRNA from 1 species
UGGACUGAUAGGUUUCCAGAGACUCUCAGCCAGCCUGGAUAGUGACCUUUUGCAGGUGGAGCUGGUCAGUUUUGAGGCCUUUCCGUGGAAGUUCUGAAAGCAGAGGUCCCGCCCCUGGAAAUCCCCCAGCCUACGCCGGCUUGUUGUUGUCCUGCAGCCCUGUGGGAGCUGCCUGACCCUGGGGCAGGGUGCACGGACUUAGAUUAAGGCCAGAACCAAAGGUCAGCUUAACUGGAGUAGUAUCCAUGGGCUAUGCCCCUUUCUUUUUAGCUCUCUGAAGUGUGGAUGCUGCAGCAUCAGGUUUCUGAAGGGCAGGAAAGGGGAGCUGACGUCAGCAGAGCACCUAUGGAGCACCUGGCACUGUGCCAAGCAGCCUAGACUCCUCAUGACACAUGGGCUUUGAAGCACCUGUCCCCUGCCGGAUGGCAGAACAUCCCGUGUCUUCCAUCAGGUCCCAAUGGCGUGGCAUGAAUGAUGCAGACACAGGAAUAACAAUAAAAGCAUGUGGCUUUGUGCUUCUCUGGUGCCAUGUUCAUUUGGGCUCACGGUCUGCAUUUGGUGUAGUCACAGAGGACACAGAGAAUGGGCUAUUUUCUCUGCUGAGGACAAUACAGACUGGACUUGGGUUGAAUGCCUGCCUUUCCCUGGCUCUGUUCCUGGAGCCCGCUCAGAGUUGAGCUCCUCUCCCUGCUGAGUUCUUCCAGGCAGUGGCCCCCUCCCUCUACACUCUGGCCCUGAGGUGUGGUUAGCCCAAAAUCUGCC